AUUUUCUCAGAACUGUGAGCUCUGCCAGGAGCAUGUUAUCUGGUCUGCUGAGUAAAUACUGGGUCACUAUAUACGUGACCAUUGCUGAGUCAAGAUGUAAUGUCUCACAAGCAAUGUGUUUGUUUUAACAGGGUUCGUCUUCAAGGUGUGAUUUUGGCAGAAAAAAUAAGGCAAGAAGGGUGAGUUUCAUGAUGGGGAGGGCGUGGGUGAUGGGAAGGGCAGAUGUCUUGGGGGCACGCACACCUGUCAUAUCCUCUGGGUUUUAUUUCACAGCCAACUGCCUACCGUCCCCGGGCUUUGAACGCUCCUGUGGGAGUUCAAGUAUCGUCCCAGGGCAGGCUGCAGGAAGAGCUCCCAGAAGCAUAAAUAGAGCACACGCCGAUAAUUGCCACCCGAAUACAGUCCUAGGGCUACCGCAAACAAGGUAUUGGUUAUCGGCAGAUGAAACCGGAGUCUUCUGUAAGGGAGGAAAUUGUGUAACAGCGCAGACCCUGGAGUCGGGAUGUUUGAGUUCAGAUUGCAGCUCCACUAUGACAGGCACCGUGUCCUUGGGCGAAUGACUGAAAUUCUUUUUCCUUGAUGUCUUUAUUCGUAAAAUGAAGAUAAUAAUAGUACUUAUCGCAUGUGGUCGUGAUGAUUAAAUGAUUUAAUACAUGUGACGCUCUUAGCAGAGUGUCUGGCACACAGUGAGUGAAAAGUGAAAGUAUUAGUCACCCGGUCGUGCCCGACUCUUUCCAACCCCAUGGACUGUAGCCCGCCAGGCUCCUCUGUCCAUGGAAUUCUCCAGGCAGAAUACUGGAGUGGCUUGCCAUGCCCUUCUCCAAGGAAUCUUCCCGAGCCAGGGAUAGAGCCCAGGUCUCUUGCAUUGCAGGCGGAUUCUUUACCAUCUGAGCCCCCAGGGAAAUGUACGUACUCAAUAAAUAGUAGCAGGUUUUUUUUUUUUUUGGUUUAUGUUUUGAGUAUUUCAUCAUUUAAAAGGGACUAGCCCUUCAGCUUCCUAGGUGAAGCUGGAACCAGGAGCUGAAAACCUUUGGUCAAGUGCAUUCUUGCAGCUGAAAGUGAAGGCUGCUUUUAGCAAAAGAGGGUUUAUGAUACAUCAUCUUGAGGUCACAGGAAGCUAUGGCAGAGACCAAAAUGGGCUAAACCUGAGACGUGGACGAAGUCUAUGCAGCUGUGGCAAAGGGCUUGCUUCUCCUCAGUCAGUAAUGGCCUGAGUGGUCUCCAGUUGCUUCUCAAUCCCGGAUUACAUCCCAUAUACAUAUAGCCCUAUCGAGAGCCCUGCUUUAGACAAGAUCUUGUCAUUCUGUAGGAAACGACUGGUUAGAAACAUGGGACAAAGUUCAAGUCUUUGCUAAUAUAUUAUAUUUGCUGUUGCUUAGUCAUUAAGUUGUGUCUGACUCUUUGCGAUCCUAUGGACUGCAGCAGGCCAGGUUUCCCUGUCUUUCACCAUCUCCCAGAAUUUGCUCAGACUCAUGUCCAUUGAGUCGGUGAUGCCAUCCAACCAUCUCAUCCUCUGUUGUCCCCUUCUCCUGUUUCCCUCAAUCUUUCCCAGCAUCAGGGUCUUUUCCAAUGAGUCAGCUCUUCGCAUCAGGUGGCCAAAGUAUCGGAGCUUCAGCUUCAGCAUCAGCCCUUCCAACGAAUAUUCAGGUUUGUUUCCUUUAGGAUGGACUGGAUUGAUCUCCUUGCUGUUCAAGGGACUCUCAAGAGUCUUCUUCAGCAUCACAAUAUAAAGCAUCGAUUCUUCUGUGGUCCGUCUUCUUCACGAUGCAACUCACAUCUGUGCAUAACUACGGGAAAAACCAUAGCUUUGACUAUACGGACCUUUGUUGGCAAAGUAAUAUGAGUCGUCAAACAAAAGGAUUAUCCAAAAAGUGAUGUUCAUUCCUGAGCUGGAGACUGGCCCAGGAUCAGGAGAGAGGAUGAACCAGCGAAGAGGAAAUAAGGUCAGAGUGCAGUGAGGCUAAAUCAGGAGGCCUGAUGUGCAGAAAUGAGAUUACUAUGGAAUUGCAUCUUGUUGUUGUCGUUCAGCUACCAAGUCAUGCCCAACUCUUCGAGACCCCAAGGACUGCAGCAUGCCAGGCUUCUGUGUCCCUCAGCAUCUCCUGGAGUUUGCCCAAGUUCAGGUCCACCGAAUCGGUGAUGCCAUCCAACCAUCUCAUCCUCUGUUGCCCUCUUCUUCUGCUUGUAAUCUUUCCUAGCAUCAGGAAUUGCUUCUUACCAGGGCAUUAAAUGAUUCAAAAGCUCACAUUUGUAAAAAUCACAGAAAAUUAUCCUUAAAAAUCCCUUUUACUUCAUGAACAAUUUUUACUUCAUGAACGAUUCAUAGAUGGUUUUGUACAUACAACCCUACAUAGUAUGUGUCUAAUACAUGAAAAAUAGUACAAAUGCAAUACUGCCUUUUACAGAAUUUUAUAAUAUUUAAAACUGUAUAUUGAGCAUAGAUACUUGACUUCAUUUAGGUUAAAUGCACCUAUUAUGUGAUUCUUAAAACUAUGUUUGGGCCCUGGGCCGAUUUCUAUUCUCUGCGCUAUGUGUUCUCC
ensembl:lincRNA